UACAGAGGUCUCGAGCGUUAGGCGGAAUCACUGGGCUUAAAGCGUGUGUAGGCGGAUCGUUAAGUGCCUUGUGAAAUCCCACGGCUUAACCGUGGAACUGCUUGGCAUACUGGCGGUCUUGAGCAACCUAGGGGCGAGCGGAACAAAUGGUGGAGCGGUGAAAUGCGUAGAUAUCAUUUGGAACGCCAAUGGUGAAAACAGCUCGCUGGGGGUUUGCUGACGCUGAGGCGCGAAAGCGUGGGGAUCAAACAGG
rnacentral:rRNA from 1 species